GUAGGGAAUAUUGGGCAAUGGUCGGAAGACUGACCCAGCCAUGCCGCGUGCAGGAAGACGGCCCUCUGGGUUGUAAACUGCUUUUAUCUGGGAAGAAAAAGGCCAUGCGUGGCAAAUUGCCGGUACCAGAUGAAUAAGCACCGGCUAACUCCGUGCCAGCAGCCGCGGUAAUACGGAGGGUGCGAGCGUUGUCCGGAUUUAUUGGGUUUAAAGGGUGCGUAGGCGGCUGAUUAAGUCAGCGGUGAAAGACUUCGGCUUAACCGGAGCAGUGCCGUUGAUACUGGUUGGCAUGAGUGUCGGAGGGGUACAUGGAAUUGAUGGUGUAGCGGUGAAAUGCAUAGAUACCAUCAGGAACACCGAUAGCGAAGGCAUUGUACUGGCCGACAACUGACGCUGAUGCACGAAAGUGUGGGGAUCGAACAGGAUUAGAAACCCCAGUAGUCC
rnacentral:rRNA from 1 species